rnacentral:rRNA from 1 species
CCUACGGGAGGCAGCAGUGGGGAAUAUUGCACAAUGGGCGCAAGCCUGAUGCAGCGACGCCGCGUGCGGGAUGACGGCCUUCGGGUUGUAAACCGCUUUUGACUGGGAGCAAGCCCUUCGGGGUGAGUGUACCUUUCGAAUAAGCACCGGCUAACUACGUGCCAGCAGCCGCGGUAAUACGUAGGGUGCAAGCGUUAUCCGGAAUUAUUGGGCGUAAAGGGCUCGUAGGCGGUUCGUCGCGUCCGGUGUGAAAGUCCAUCGCUUAACGGUGGAUCCGCGCCGGGUACGGGCGGGCUUGAGUGCGGUAGGGGAGACUGGAAUUCCCGGUGUAACGGUGGAAUGUGUAGAUAUCGGGAAGAACACCAAUGGCGAAGGCAGGUCUCUGGGCCGUCACUGACGCUGAGGAGCGAAAGCGUGGGGAGCGAACAGGAUUAGAUACCCUGGUAGUCCACGCCGUAAACGGUGGAUGCUGGAUGUGGGGACCAUUCCACGGUCUCCGUGUCGGAGCCAACGCGUUAAGCAUCCCGCCUGGGGAGUACGGCCGCAAGGCUAAAACUCAAAGAAAUUGACGGGGGCCCGCACAAGCGGCGGAGCAUGCGGAUUAAUUCGAUGCAACGCGAAGAACCUUACCUGGGCUUGACAUGUUCCCGACAGCCCCAGAGAUGGGGCCUCCCUUCGGGGCGGGUUCACAGGUGGUGCAUGGUCGUCGUCAGCUCGUGUCGUGAGAUGUUGGGUUAAGUCCCGCAACGAGCGCAACCCUCGCCCUGUGUUGCCAGCACGUCGUGGUGGGAACUCACGGGGGACCGCCGGGGUCAACUCGGAGGAAGGUGGGGAUGACGUCAGAUCAUCAUGCCCCUUACGUCCAGGGCUUCACGCAUGCUACAAUGGCCGGUACAACGGGAUGCGACACCGUGAGGUGGAGCGGAUCCCUUAAAACCGGUCUCAGUUCGGAUUGGAGUCUGCAACCCGACUCCAUGAAGGCGGAGUCGCUAGUAAUCGCGGAUCAGCAACGCCGCGGUGAAUGCGUUCCCGGGCCUUGUACACACCGCCCGUCAAGUCAUGAAAGUGGGUAGCACCCGAAGCCGGUGGCCCAACCUUUUUGGGGGGAGCCGUCUAAGGUGAGACUCGUGAUUGGGACUAAGUCGUAACAAGGUAGCCGUACCGGAAGGUGCGGCUG